GGCCCUAUCGUCUAGCCUGGUCCAGGACGGAGGCUUUUCAAGCCUUAAACCCGGGUUCGAAUCCCGGUAGGGUCACCA
rnacentral:tRNA from 1 species